GAACGCUGGCGGCGUGCCUAAUACAUGCAAGUCGAACGAGUUCUCGUUGAUGAUCGGUGCUUGCACCGAGAUUCAACAUGGAACGAGUGGCGGACGGGUGAGUAACACGUGGGUAACCUGCCCUUAAGUGGGGGAUAACAUUUGGAAACAGAUGCUAAUACCGCAUAGAUCCAAGAACCGCAUGGUUCUUGGCUGAAAGAUGGCGUAAGCUAUCGCUUUUGGAUGGACCCGCGGCGUAUUAGCUAGUUGGUGAGGUAAUGGCUCACCAAGGCGAUGAUACGUAGCCGAACUGAGAGGUUGAUCGGCCACAUUGGGACUGAGACACGGCCCAAACUCCUACGGGAGGCAGCAGUAGGGAAUCUUCCACAAUGGACGCAAGUCUGAUGGAGCAACGCCGCGUGAGUGAAGAAGGCUUUCGGGUCGUAAAACUCUGUUGUUGGAGAAGAAUGGUCGGCAGAGUAACUGUUGUCGGCGUGACGGUAUCCAACCAGAAAGCCACGGCUAACUACGUGCCAGCAGCCGCGGUAAUACGUAGGUGGCAAGCGUUAUCCGGAUUUAUUGGGCGUAAAGCGAGCGCAGGCGGUUUUUUAAGUCUGAUGUGAAAGCCCUCGGCUUAACCGAGGAAGCGCAUCGGAAACUGGGAAACUUGAGUGCAGAAGAGGACAGUGGAACUCCAUGUGUAGCGGUGAAAUGCGUAGAUAUAUGGAAGAACACCAGUGGCGAAGGCGGCUGUCUGGUCUGUAACUGACGCUGAGGCUCGAAAGCAUGGGUAGCGAACAGGAUUAGAUACCCUGGUAGUCCAUGCCGUAAACGAUGAAUGCUAGGUGUUGGAGGGUUUCCGCCCUUCAGUGCCGCAGCUAACGCAUUAAGCAUUCCGCCUGGGGAGUACGACCGCAAGGUUGAAACUCAAAGGAAUUGACGGGGGCCCGCACAAGCGGUGGAGCAUGUGGUUUAAUUCGAAGCAACGCGAAGAACCUUACCAGGUCUUGACAUCUUUUGAUCACCUGAGAGAUCAGGUUUCCCCUUCGGGGGCAAAAUGACAGGUGGUGCAUGGUUGUCGUCAGCUCGUGUCGUGAGAUGUUGGGUUAAGUCCCGCAACGAGCGCAACCCUUAUGACUAGUUGCCAGCAUUUAGUUGGGCACUCUAGUAAGACUGCCGGUGACAAACCGGAGGAAGGUGGGGAUGACGUCAAAUCAUCAUGCCCCUUAUGACCUGGGCUACACACGUGCUACAAUGGAUGGUACAACGAGUUGCGAGACCGCGAGGUCAAGCUAAUCUCUUAAAGCCAUUCUCAGUUCGGACUGUAGGCUGCAACUCGCCUACACGAAGUCGGAAUCGCUAGUAAUCGCGGAUCAGCACGCCGCGGUGAAUACGUUCCCGGGCCUUGUACACACCGCCCGUCACACCAUGAGAGUUUGUAACACCCGAAGCCGGUGGCGUAACCCUUUUAGGGAGCGAGCCGUCUAAGGUGGGACAAAUGAUUAGGGUGAAGU
rnacentral:rRNA from 2 species